rnacentral:misc_RNA from 1 species
AACGCACAUUGCGCCCUUUGGUAUUCCGAGGGGCAUGCCUGUUCGAGCGUCAUUUCAACUCUCAAGCUUAUGCUUGGUAUUGGGUGUCGUCCUGCCUAUACAUUUAGGCGGGACUCGCCUGAAACUCAUGGGCGGUAGUUCAUUACACCGAGCGUAGUCAAAUCUUUACCUCGCUCUUGGACGUUUUGUUAACUGACCUGCCUAAUAACCCCCCCUAAAUAUUCAAAGUUUGACCUCGGAUCAGGUAGGGAUACCCGCUGAACUUAA